CGUUGCGGGCGAAAGCACUAAGUGGUACCUAUUGGAAAAUCCUUCGCCUCUGCCCGAGUCCCCACCAGGAGCUGUUAUGUCAUUCAAACUUCUAAUCGAUACGAUUGUUCAAAUGGGCACAAUCAGUUCACGAUUAUACAAGUUUGCUUCUCUUCAGUUUCAAGUGAUCCGGAAAGGAGUAAACAAUCGGAGUGCAGAAAAGUUUUAUGAAAAACUGGAUAGUUAAAACAAAUCCAAUAGAUGGAACGGUCGAAAAUUGUCCAAAGCUGCUCCGGGACCAACCAAAAUUUCCAACAAUCAGCCUGCAUGCUCAAAAGAAGAUGAUGUUUCGUGCUUCAUAUGCAAGUGUCGAAAAAUCAUCUAAAUACGGUCGAAAAAUGAAGUUGAAUUUUAAUUAUGUCCUCAGCCAGCCGUGAUGCUAUUUUCGGCUAAAUUAUAAAGUUUUUUGGUAAGGAGGCUGGAAUUAAUAAGUGCUUGCCGUGACUCUAAUAUGUGGAUGGUUAUCGAUAUUUCGAUAGAAUCGACAUUUGGUUCAGGCAUUUGAACAUAUGUAUCUGAGAGCGGAAAAAGUCAAUUCUACCCAAAGGUCGAACGAUGAAAAGGCCCCAGACAUGAAAUCAUUCGAACAGACGUUGGAAUUUUGCGUUGGAAAGAAACCUUUGAAAAUCGUAAAUUCUCUAGGAAUGAAAAAGUUUGUCCACCGUUACUGGGAUUGGAACUGUACUUCCUGCUUCACAACCGUAAAGGAUCAAUCACUGUGACUAAAGCUACAAAUUAGAAUCCAGCUAGGUGCGAAAGAUAGUUGUAUACAAGAAAAUUCAAGAACUAAACUUGAACUUCGAUUGCAUUAGGCGCAGUUGCCCAACGUGUAAUGAAAGAACGUUUUUUCACCUUCAAAAUCCAUGGAAUCGACUGGUUUAGGAGAAAAUUUGUUGUAACUUAAGGUUCCUUGGCUUUGAGCGAAUUUGAUUGUUCCCAUUGUU